GCAAGUCGAACGAAAUCAUAUCUUCGGAUAUCGAUUUAGUGGCGAACGGGUGAGUAACACGUAAGAAACCUGCCCUUAGGACAAGGAUAACUAUUGGAAACGAUAGCUAAUACUGGAUAGUAUAUUUGAUCGCAUGGUCGAAUAUUUAAAGAAGCUUUCAAGCUUCACCUUUGGAUGGUCUUGCGCUGUAUUAGCUAGUUGGUGAGGUAACGGCUCACCAAGGCGACGAUCAGUAUCUGGUUUGAGAGGACGAUC
rnacentral:rRNA from 1 species